ACAAGCGGUGGAGUAUGUGGUUUAAUUCGAUGCAACGCGAAGAACCUUACCUGGUCUUGACAUCCCGGAGACCCUUAGGAAACUAGGGGGUGCUUCCAGUCUGGAAGAAUCUGGAGACAGGUGCUGCAUGGCUGUCGUCAGCUCGUGUCGUGAGAUGUUGGGUUAAGUCCCGCAACGAGCGCAACCCUUGCCUUUAGUUGCCAGCAGUUCGGCUGGGCACUCUAAAGGGACUGCCGGUGUUAAACCGGAGGAAGGUGGGGAUGACGUCAAGUCCUCAUGGCCUUUAUGACCAGGGCUACACACGUACUACAAUGGCCGAUACAAAGGGCAGCGACACUGCGAGGUGAAGCCAAUCCCGUAAAAUCGGUCUCAGUCCGGAUUGGAGUCUGCAACUCGACUCCAUGAAGUUGGAAUCGCUAGUAAUCGUGGAUCAGCAUGCCACGGUGAAUACGUUCCCGGGCCUU
rnacentral:rRNA from 1 species